rnacentral:rRNA from 1 species
UACAGAGGUCUCAAGCGUUGUUUGGAUUCAUUGGGCGUAAAGGGUGCGUAGGCGGCGCGGUAAGUCGGGUGUGAAAUCUUGGAGCUUAACUCCGAAACUGCAUUCGAUACUGCCGUGCUUGAGGACUGGAGAGGAGACUGGAAUUUACGGUGUAGCGGUGAAAUGCGUAGAUAUCGUAAGGAAGACCAGUGGCGAAGGCGGGUCUCUGGACAGUUCCUGACGCUGAAGCACGAAGGCCAGGGGAGCAAACGGG